GUAGGGCGCAAGCAUUAUCCGGGAUUUAUUGGGGCGUAAAGCGUCGCGUAGGCGGCCCGCUACAUCUCACUUUAAAUGUCGAGGGCUUAACCUCGUCUCCGGUGAGAGAUGGGCAGGCUAGAGGAUUGGAGGGGUUUCUGGAACUUCCGGUGUAGCAGUGAAAUGCGUUGAUAUCGGAAGGAACACCAAGAGCGUAGGCAGGAAACCAGUCAACUCCUGACGCUGAGGCACGACAGCUAGGGUAGCGAAGCAGAUUAGAGACCUGCGUAGUCCUAGCCGUAAACGCAUGAGUGCUAGUUGCUCGUCUUUUGAUGGGUGACGUAAGCUAACGCGUUAAGCACUCCGCCUGGGGAGUACGACCGCAAGGUUAA
rnacentral:rRNA from 1 species